rnacentral:rRNA from 1 species
CCUACGGGUGGCAGCAGUGGGGAAUAUUGGACAAUGGGGGGAACCCUGAUCCAGCGACGCCGCGUGAGUGAAGACGUUUUUCGGUUUGUAAAGCUCUAUCAGUAGGGAAGAAAGAAAUGACGGUACCUGACUAAGAAGCCCCGGUUAACUACGUGCCAGCAGCCGCGGUAAUACGUAGGGGGCAAGCGUUAUCCGGAUUUACUGGGUGUAAAGGGAGCGUAGGCGGCGAGGUAAGCGAGAUGUGAAAGGCGUAGGCUUAACCUGCGGAUUGCAUAGCGAACUGUCUGGCUAGAGUACAGGAGAGGUAAGCGGAAUUCCUAGUGUAGCGGUGAAAUGCGUAGAUAUUAGGAAGAACACCAGUGGCGAAGGCGGCUUACUGGACUGAAACUGACGUUGAGGCUCGAAAGCGUGGGGAGCGAACAGGAUUAGAUACCCCAGUAGUC